CAGUCGCCGCGGUAAUACGAAGGGUGCAAGCGUUAAUCGGAAUUACUGGGCGUAAAGCGUGCGUAGGCGGUUUGUUAAGUCUGUUGUGAAAUUCCCGGGCUCAACCUGGGAAUGGCAAUGGAUACUGGCAAGCUAGAGUGUGUCAGAGGAUGGUGGAAUUCCCGGUGUAGCGGUGAAAUGCGUAGAGAUCGGGAGGAACAUCAGUGGCGAAGGCGGCCAUCUGGGACAACACUGACGCUGAGGCACGAAAGCGUGGGGAGCAAACAGGAUUAGAUACCCCAGUAGUCCCUGUCUCUUAUAU
rnacentral:rRNA from 1 species